rnacentral:tRNA from 1 species
AAAUCAGUGUAUCUUGA